ensembl:lncRNA
GAAUUGUUUUCACCGACCGCUGGACAGCAUAACGGGGAAAGUGACGUGGAAUAUGGGGGCAAAAGGACAGGACAGAGUAAGAGAUAAUUGAGAAAUGCUCCCCAUUCUACUGUUCCUUUUUACCUUCCUCUUUUUCCUUUUUCUUUCUUUUUUUGCUUUUUUCACCACCUUUUAUCCAUCCAAACAUCCCUUUUUUACCUCCCACCAUGUUUGUACUGUCCUUCCUUGCUUCUAUCACCCUUUUUCCUGUCAUUCUUCCAUACAUUUAAUCUCCUUAGCUAACCUCCUGUUUUCCCCUAAUUUCUGACUUUAAUUCUCUAGCCUUUUCCUCCACUCCCUCUAUUUUAUUUUACUCUAUUACUAUUUUUCCUGCUCUCCUCACCCAUUGUCUCUCUUUACUCCCUCUUUCAUUCUCUCAACCCCUCCCUACCUUCCUCCCUCCCUACGUCCCUCUUCCCGAUUUGUCCUUCAGCUCUGUCAGCACUCACUAUCUCGCUCCAUCUCCUUCUCUGGCAGUCUGAUCAGCUGUCUCCCUUCUAACUUUACAUGGCCUGGUGUGGUGCGGAGGGACGGGCGGCUGCCGGCUGACGCAUUUCACUGCCCAGUCAUCACUUCAAAUCAAAUCCUCUUACACAAACCUGUGUGCUUUUUUUUAUUGCUCACUAUUUUUGCUCUUUUCUACCUGCACUGGGUCCAAUGUUUUUUUUUUUACCCCUCCUCCUUUUUCAUCCCAACCAGCAAGAAAAAGAGAGGCAAGGCAAGUCCCCUGACCCUCUUCUUUUUCUUUCCUCUCUUUUCACUCCUCCUCCUCUUCUCCUCUUCUCCUCUCUGCAACCUUAAACUCUCCAUCGCUGAUUCAGCUCCCAGGGAAGGAAAGACUCCGCCUGCAGCGACUGCUUCACUCCGCACGGGCCAGCAUCCCUAUCUGGAUCACCUUUUGCUACGGUCCUCCUCAUCCACUCUCACUCACCUUUCGGGACCAGACUCAGACUAAAAUGCUUUGCUAAAGCUGGUAAAAUGGAACCAAAUCAACUGUUCAAUGGAUUUGGUCCCCUUCAACCAGCUGUAGCUGUGCAUUGAUCACUCCGAACACACACGCAGCCACAGAGGUGAAGGAAAGGAUAAUUCAGAUGAAAACUGCUUUAACAUGUAGAACUGAAGCUACGUUAGCUUCUCCACAGAAACCAGUGGACUGAGACACAGCAUGCUCCAGUUACUGCAUGGAUUUAUCUCCAUCACACACAUUAUCAGAAAGACAUUGAAGUUAUUUGCAAAAUCUGAAUAAAACAAGUCAGGUAAGAAAUGACAGAUACUGUACCUUUGAGUGAAUUUGUAUUUUUGUUGUGUACCGCUAUAAUUGCAUUAUCCUUUGGAGACUUUUUUAUUGUUCUUUGCAGAUUAUUUGAGGAGUGUGUUUGGUCCAUGAAUUGCUGUUGUGUGUGUGUGUGUGUGUGUGUGUGUGUGUGUGUGUGUGUGUGUGUGUGUGUGUGUGUGUGUAAAAGGGUGGUACAAGUGUAAGAACAGUCACUGUCUAAGAAAAGCAGUAGUGCGUAUUAGUGCACAUGUAUGUAUGUGUGUGACUCCUAAUGCACGUCUGAUCAAUAAAGCCUCGUCCUGAAGUUCACAUAAACUGCUGAAGUGGUCUUUGCUUUGAUGUGUGGUCUUACUGGGGGAGGUGGGGUGGGGGUGGAAUGGAAGGAAGUACACACUAAAAAUCACUUGGUUAAAAUUUUUGGGUCAAUAUAGAAUUGAUGCACUAAUGGGUUGUGUUGGCCCACUGUUUGGACUCUGUUAUACCUGCUUGCAAGUCUAUUUUUUUACAUUAUCUUUUGGGUUAUUUACUCAAUUAAAAUAUGGUCAUUUGGACAGAUUAAGUUCAAGUUUGCUCAAGAGAUGUGCAAGUCCACCACAGUGCAUACACUGCAACAAUUAAUGAGUCCUUAUAUCCACAAAAAACUGCAAAAUGCUCUGUUUGAGAGAACUGUUGGCCAACAAAACUAAACCCAAGGAGGCCUCUUCAGCUUAGUGAUUAUUAGACAUCUCUGGAGUUACAUCCCGUAGUAGAAAUGCUGACUUUUUGGCUCAUUGGCAAGCUAAGCGAUCACUCUCAGAAUGGACUGGGCCUCAUCCACUGGUAAGUAAGUAACACCAGAUCUGGUUUAAAAUGCUGUCAAUACUGGUACUCCAGUGCGGGAAAUCCACCACAGACUCCAAAUUUAAAAACUGUAUACUGCAAGAAUAGAGAGAUUUACCUGGCGGUCAUAGGCUUUAUCAGCAGUGUGUAAAGUCAUUUGGCAGCACUCCAGUCGUCCAGUCAUGACUAGAUUCCACUACACUGCUAUCCUAAGUACACAAGAAUGACAUAGUAGAAUUUUACACUGUAACUUCCUUUGCACAAACUCCUCUCUCAGGUACAAUGCUCUGGAAUUACUUACCUGACAGCUCAAAGCAGAUUCAGGAUUUUAAAAGGUUGUCAAGUCUUAGUUAAAACUUUUCUACAACCGUACCCCUCACCUUCAAAGCGGACGAAGAAAAACUACAUGGCUGCAAAACAUGCGAAUGCAUUUGUUUAGCCCAUGUCCCGUCUGCUAACAUGGAGGCAUAGUUUUAUGACCUCUACUACAGUCAGCCAGCAGGGGGCGAUUGAGAUGUGUUGGCUUUGCUUUUGGAGAACUGUCAUGACGAUGGUUGCUCCUGAACGUUACACACUGAACCUUUAGCUCAUGCAAUAAAUACAUUUUUGUUUUGUUUCAUUUGUC